rnacentral:rRNA from 1 species
UACGUAGGGGGCUAGCGUUGUCCGGAUUUAUUGGGCGUAAAGAGCGUGUAGGCGGUUCGGUAGGUCCGUUGUGAAAACUCGAGGCUCAACCUCGAGACGCCGAUGGAAACCAUCGAACUAGAGUCCGGAAGAGGAGAGUGGAAUUCCUGGUGUAGCGGUGAAAUGCGCAGAUAUCGGGAGGAACACCUAUGGCGAAGGCAGCUCGCUGGGACGUUACUGACGCUGAGACGCGAAAGCGUGGGGAGCAAACAGG